GCCAACGCAAAAGUCCAACAGAAAAGAAAGGUUGGGUAUUGAAUGAGAACCUUGCAUUUCUGUGAGUGAAGGAGAGAGAAUAUGAUCCCUCUUCCGCAGAGUGAAGACGAGCCUUUCAAAAGUACGCGGAUUCGAUAGAAGAUCCCUCGAAUUGCAUCUAGUGGGAGAAUCCCUAGACUCCUUUGCAUCUCCAUCUCGUCCAUGGAAUUCACGUCUUCGAGUGUCCCGUAUCGUCUCUAAGUUAUCCGAAAGCAUAGCCUCAAAUGGAGGAAAUAUACUCGGGGUUGAUAUCUUUGUUCCCGAGAAGAAGCAAGUCUUCUAUUCCAGAAGGUCCACCUUUUCAUUUUCCUUUUUUAUUUUAUUUGCACUAGUUUCAUAAUUUAGUUUCUUUCUUAUUUUCCAAUACUGUUUGUAGCCACCAAUAUGAAUUACGAUUCUUAACAGAUUUCUUAUGUAUGUUGUUAUUCUAAAGAAAUUAGCAUCCAUUCUUAGAUUAAUUACUAGGAUGAAAGGCCUAAAUAUAUUUUAAGAGAGGCAAAAGUAAAAUAGGUCUUCAAAAUGCUGGAAAGUGAUCUUAAUAUGAAUUUUAAGAUAGAGGGAAAGUAUUCGAUGUUAUGGAAGUCCAAAACAAAAUUAGAACCUGUCCUAUGAAUUAUGUCCAUGGAUUGUGAAUGAUAGUCUCUGCAACCUUUUAAGAAGAGAAUAAUUAAUGAGGGAAGUUCAAAUGUGAAAUUAGUUUUAAUUCUGACUAAUACACAACUGACACAAGUAUAGGAUUUCUCUUGAUCCCAAAUAUAGGAUUUCUGUUCUUGCUUCCAAACAGGUUUCUGUACCAAUUUGUCAAUCAACAUUUUUAUAUUGUUUGGCUGAAAAAUUGGGAAAGACAAACCCCAUACGAAUCAAUACAGGAAAGACCCCUCAUUGAAACCAUAACAAAUGUUUCUUAAGACCAUUGUCUGGUGGAUUUGUUGCAUGGAUGGCAGGAUGGGAAGCUACCAGUAGAAAUAUUUUGUGUGAUAAAUAACCACGAAAGAGGCCCAAAUACCCACGUGGCACGAUUUUUAAAACUCCAUGCUAUCCCGAAUCAUUCUUUGGAAACAAUUAAAGCUGAUAAGAGGGAGGCAGAGAUCCUGAAUUUGGUUAAAGAUACAGAUUUUCUAGUACUUGCUAGGUACUGCAGGGACACAUAAAAUGUUUCAAACUACUUGUUAUGUGCGAUCAUUCUACAGAAAAAAAUGUAAGAAAAGGAAAGACAGGAUACAAAAAAGAAGUUAGAUUCCGAUCAAGUCAAAACAAUCUCAUCAUGUGCAAAUUCACUGUCAAUGUGUGAAGUUUCAUUGUGCAAACAGGAGUUUGAAGCUGGUGUGAAGCUAAUAGGAGCAACAAGUCAUUUUGUAACUGAAGAGCUUGAUGGAGGGCUUAUUAUUGAACAAAUGGUGUUUUUCUAUCAUUUUCUUAUACUCGUUGACAUUUCCAUUGGUUCAAUACAUGAUAAUGGAUAGUUUGUUUUCUUCUC